UACGGAGGGGGCUAGCGUUGUUCGGAAUUACUGGGCGUAAAGCGCGCGUAGGCGGACCUGCAAGUCGGGGGUGAAAGCCCGAGGCUCAACCUCGGAACUGCCUCCGAUACUGCGGGUCUCGAGUCCGGGAGAGGUGAGUGGAAUUCCUAGUGUAGAGGUGAAAUUCGUAGAUAUUAGGAAGAACGCCAGUGGCGAAGGCGGCUCACUGGCCCGGUACUGACGCUGAGGCGCGAAAGCGUGGGGAGCAAACAGG
rnacentral:rRNA from 1 species